AAAAUAAUUGUUUCGUACUGAUUACGCGUGACCAAUAAUAAUAAACGAUAUGAUAAAUGAUAAUCGUUCGAUAGUAUCCGUUUGGUCAACAGCCUGGUAAAGAGUACUUUAAUCAUAGAUUUAUAUCAUAUCAUGGCUUUUAUAGUCUAUUAAACAGAAAUUAGCGGCUGCCUGUAAACUUGUGAACCGCUCAAAAGACUUGUCCUUAUCUUACGUUCAGCCGUUUCUAAAGGUCAACAGGUCCAUUGAUUACACGACCGUACAAUCACAUAAAAGUCAAUACUUUCCAAACAUUUCUGUUCGACCCGCAUUUAAACAUUCUUAAUAUAUUCGAACAUCAUAUACAUCUAUUUUCGAACUGAUUUUAUUGCCCCUGGGUUUGUCCGUAAACCAAAAUAGUAGUAAACACUAAACAACGAUUGUCAUUGUUAGUACUAGAUUCCUCAAAUGCUCUUGCACUUCGUCGGCUCAUCAAAAAUGGAAAACUACAAGUGUUGCUCACUGUCUGUUAUUGACGUCUAUGACAUCGCGCAAGACAUCGGCCGCGAGUUUGAAUCCAUCAUAGACGCUUACGGUACAGAUGCCAUUACAGGUCUAAUGCCUAAGGUAGUCACUGCCCUAGAACAGAUGGAAAUGUUAGCUAUGAAGAACGAACGUGAGAACACUACAGUGGACGAUUUACGGUCAACAAUACAACAACUUGAAAUGGAUAAACAGGAACGAUCUGAAGAUAGGAUUAAAUAUGAAAAGGAAAUGGAACAAAUUGAAGAUAAAUGGCGUGAAGACUAUAAUGAAUUGUUGGAUACAGUUUCUAGACUUCAAGAUGAUAACCGUAAAUUGACAGAGUCCUUACAAGCCGCUGAAAAGGAUAAGAUUUAUGACCAAAAAUCUCAAGUUUUAAGUCCUGAUGUUGAUACUGUAGCUCUUCAACGUUUGCGCCAUACUGUUGAUCAUAUGCGUGAUAAUAUUAGAAGCUAUGAACAUCAAUUAAAUUCAAAAAGCAAUGAAGUUGAUUCUUUGACUGUUCAAAUGGAAAGACUGCAAACUACUUUAAAAGAUUUACGGCGUAAACAUCGUUUCGUUCAGACACAAUGUCGUUCUUUGGUUGAAGAAAGAGCUGAUAUUCUUUCUCAACUACAGAAGCAGCAAAAGGAGUUUAUUUCACUUAGACAAAGGUUUGGAAUGGCUCAAAAAGAAAACGAAGAUCUCUCGAAGUAUAGGGAUGAUGUGCCAGAUUUAAAAAACAAAGCCAUAUAUGAUUUAGAUGAUCCAGAUAGACCAAAAUUUACGACUAAUGAAUUGAAAGAUAUUUUAACUGAACGUAAUGAAUUAAAAACUCGUGUCAAUGAACUUGAAGAUGAACUCUCACAAUAUAGACCAGUAGAACAGUUGACUGAAUCGCACGAGAUCAAAUCCAAGAAACGCGGAUACGAAGAAUUAUCUUACGACAAUGCACUAGAACAGUCAGUCACAGGAAAAUUUUUAACACCCCUCCGAUCGAUAAGGAAGACACGCAAGUGUCUGUCAUCACCUCAGAAAGUCCACCAGAUGGAACAUCCCCAUGCAGGUAAGUUUCAAAUAUAUUACACAUGGUUGCAUACUGUUGAUAACCCUUUCAUAAUAACUUAUAAUGACUUAUAAGCAAUGAAACGCUUACAUGGUCUUUUAUGAGUUGCUCUUUUAUAAUUAUUGCUGUUGUAAAAUAUUUUCAUUCCGCUAUUAAUGCACGGCAGUAGAUCAUUAAAUAAUUUUAUUUUCUUAAAGACUAAAUCAACUACUACAAACUCAACUACAAUAAAAACGAAACUUAUUGACUGUAUAAAAACUGAAAAACCAUUUCAACCUACAAAAGAAAGCUAAUGUUUACAUAAAAAUUGUUUCAUAUUGUCAAAUCUGAUGAUGAACAGGAAGAAGGCCCUGUUCAAGGACCUUUACCCUUAGAACCAGAUGAUGCACCAUGGAAACGAUCAGAGUCUGG
rnacentral:misc_RNA from 1 species